AGCGGGCUGGGGGCACGUGACCGAGCGGCCUCUCGGACACGUGACCGCCGCGGCGGCCUUCUUGGUUUAUCCGUGGCGGGAGAGAGCUGGGGACCUAGACCGGGGACCGGAAUUGGGGACGGCGGAGCUCCGAGGCUUCCCGCCGGUGCCGGCCUCCGCCCUCGUCCUGUGCAGACGGGCCGGCCACCUGCCUGCUGGGCCUUCGGAGUGAGCUGGGCGGCCUCGGUGCCCUCGCCUGUGAGAUGGUCCCGGGGUUGUCCAGGGAACAGCGUUGCCGGAGGCCUAUGGGAGGCAGCGGGGACGUGCACGGCCGUGUGAAGCAGGGCGAUGGCCCGAAGGACCAACCGGGAGUCCCGAAAAGCUGACCGUGGGUGAGGUUGUUGAGCAGAGCAGAGCCCCUGCCCUCGGCUGACUUCCGCCAAGGGUUGUGUGACGGGCCCCUUGGCUUUCGUUGCAGACGAUUGAGCAAGAUACGGCUGGCCCGUGGGUGACCGGUCACCGCGUGUUACUCAGCGCCCGGACACCAGCCAGGUCGGGAACCGUGCCACCUUCCGUGAUGGACACACUGGCUACUCUGCGGAAGCGCGUCACCGAAGCCGGGAGUCGACCGACAGAGGUGAGCAAGUGGCAGGGGCGGGAAGUGGGGACACUGGAGGCAAAUCCAGGUGCAGCAGCGACGGGGCCAGAAGAAAGAGCGGCGGUCAGAGGGGCCUGGCGAGGCCGACUUCAUGAGAAGGACGAUGUCCCCCGGGGGGUGACGCCGGCCACGCCCCCGCACCGACGGAGCCCCCGACACGUUUCGCAUCGCCCCGAGUGCCAGUGCGAAGGCCGCGCUGGAAGCUGAUCGCCACGCGGAACAGACAGCGACAACCGACAGAGGUCCAGAAAGGAUGCUCGCGGCACGUCCUAAGUCACAGCGGAAGAGGCGAGCGCCGUUCAUACUGUUCCUGAGGCAGAAUGAGAGUGCGAGCAGGGGAGGGGCAGGGAGAGAAGGAGACACAGAAUCCGAAGCAGGCUCCAGGCUCCCAGCCGUCAGCACAGAGCCCGACGCGGGGCUCGAAGCCCCAAACGCAAGGUCAUGAACUGAGCCGAAGUCAGAGACACCCAGGCGCCCCAAAUACACAUAGUUUAAAAUCUACGACCUUGACCACUUCCAGGUGCAUGGUUCUGUGGCAUCAGGUGCUGUACAAGCAGGGACGGCUCCGCGAACUUGUGUGUGGACACCGUUGCAGAGAUGCUCAUCUCCUCGAGGCCGUUCUGAUUUGAGUAUCUGUGCUGCUUUCUAACAAGGAAAGAAGCUCGUUCAUUCUCGAUGCUUCUGAAAGUUAGAGUGUCUCCAGCAAAGAUUAGCUUUACCGUUUCUAUUUGCCUGCAUAGUUCUAACCAAUGGGAAAGUUUCUCAUGUUUGGGAGAUCAUGGAAGUCACACUUUUCCCACUGAUUUUUGUUUCUCUCCCCAUGUCCACUUAAACAGUGUUAUUGAGGGGUGCCUAAGGGGCUCGGUCGGUUAAGUGCCCAACUUCAGCUCAGGUCAUGGUCUCACAGUUUGUGAGCUCGAGCCCCACGUCGGGCUCUGUGCUGACAGCCUAGAGCCUGGAGCCUGCUUCGGAUAUGUCUGUCUGUCUCUCUGCCCCUUUCCUGCUCACGCUCUCUCUCUCUCUGUCUCUCAAAAAUGAAUAAACGUUAAAAAAGUUUUUUUGAAAAUGUUAUUGGGAUGCCUAGGUGGCUCAGUUGGUUCAGUGUCCGACUCUUGAUAUCCACUCAGGUCAUGAUCUCACAGUUCAUGAGAUUGAGCCCUGGUCAGGCUCUGUGCUGACAGCACACAGCCUGCUUGGGAUCCUCUCUCUCUCUCUCUGCACACCCCCCCCCCCCAAAUAAAUAAAUAAACUUUUAAAGAAAUAAAAUAAAAGCAGUUUUUAUUGAGAUAAAAUUCACAAAACGUCAAUUCACCAAAAUUCGUGGUUUCUAGUGGAUUCACAAUACCCUACAAUUGUCAAGAUUGCUUUGCAGGAUUUCCGCUUGCAGAAUCCCCUUUACUGCCCCAUGCCUCCCUCCCGGCUCCUGGUGGCUGUUGGCAACCUUUUGCGUCCUUGCUUGUAGAUCCAUCACUCCAGUCUCCACCUCCGUCCUCACAUGGCGCUCUCCCUGUGUGGGUCUAUGCGUCUGGGUCCACAUUUCCCUCUUCUUGUAAGGACACCAGUCACUGGAUUUAGGGCCCACUCUCAUCCAGAAUGACCUCAUCUCAACUUGACGACACCCGCAAAGACCCAAUAUCCAAGCAAGGUCACAUUCACAAGCACCAGGCAUUAGGACUUCAACACGUCUUUUGGGAAACACACUUCAACCCACAACAGGUGGCCUCCCAAAUCCCCAGAUAGCCCAUCAAGUGACUCUUCGUGAGGAUGCAUCUAGAACUUUGCAUUUGUGCCCCCUCUUCUCAAAGUCUUGAGGAAACGAAGGGAUGCAUUACGGCUCCAUUUCGAUCAUGAGACAAACUGCAAAGGCCUGAAUUAGACUGGGGAUUGACGUGUGGGUGUGACACGUGGGCACUUAGUGUACAUUUGUAAUAUCACAGAAAUCAGCUGUGACAGUUUCUUUACAAUUAGGCUUUGACGUGCAUGUAACUUAGUUGCUGAGUGAUACUUUUGUUGUCGUUGUUGUUGUUUUUUUUAAUUUCUGCCCUUUUAGAAUCACCUGGUAAUUCAUCUGGAGUGAAUAGAAGUACUCUGUUUACUUACUUAUGCCCCAGAUGUUUAUUCCACACCCACAGCAAGCAAGACACAGUUCCAAGCACAGACACACUAAGAUUUGCCAUUACCAAGAGAAAACCCUUGACCUCAUGGGUCAUUCUAAUUAGGGGCACAGACCAUGAGUGAGGAGCACAGAUAGUACUGUGCAGAGAAGCAUGCCCUGAAGAAAAUAAAGGGGCGAGUGGUGGGGAAGGUGGUCAAAGAGGGCCCUUCUGAAGGGUCAUGCUUGAGCAGAAGGCUGAUGAAGAGAAGGAGUGAGCCCUUUAAGACUCUGGAGGAAGAGCAUUCUAGAACAAGGGAAAGACCCUCAGGCCGAGGCAUGCCUGGUGUCAUCAGGGACAACAGAAGGUCAGCACACCAAGGCGGCCAGAGAUGGUGGACGAGUCUGGAGGGCAGGCCAAGGACCAGAUCGCUCAGAGCCCAAGUGGGCAAGCCAAGGACGGUUCUCCCUCUAAGCGGGAUGUGAAGCCACAGAGAACUGGCCACUCUGACCUAUGUUUAUAAAGAUGCUCCCCAAGGGCCUGCAGGCAGCUCUUCAGCUGCCCAGGGGAGGGCCAGAGGGGUUUGACCGAGAGCCCAUGGCGCCACAGUGCAGCAGGAAGGAAGAGGUCAGAUUUGGGAGGUAAUUUGGGGAGACUGGCAGAGUUGGCUGUCGGGCCAGAUGGAGACAUGCGGGAAUAUGAGAGGUACCAAGGGACACUCUGGGCAGAGGGGUGAGGGAGCGGUGUUUGCUGAGAUAAGGGGCUUUGGGGAAGGAAGAAUUCCGUUCUGGACAAAAAACAGGUAAGAAAAUAGAAACACAUAGCAAGAUAGUGACUUAAUCCAGCCAUGUCGAUAAUCACCCCAAAGGAAGAACAGAGAUUAGCCAACAGGGUUUUUAAAAAGCAAAAAACAAGGGCACCUGGGUGGCUCAGUCGGUUGGGUGUCUUGACUUCGGCUCAGGUCAUGAUCUUGCAGUCUAUGAGUUUGAGCCCUGCAUGGGGCUCUGUGCUGACAGCUCAGAACCUGGAGCCUGCUUCAGAUUCUGUCUCUGUCUCUCUCUGCCCCUCCCCUGCUCUUACUGUGUCUCUCUUAAAAGUAAAAUAAAAACAUAAAAAAUUAAACAGC